AUUAAGGUAGAGACCGAUAGCAACCACGUGAUCAGUAAAAAUCGUGUAUUUUCACGUGAAAUUAUUUUUCGGAAUUCCGUACAUCGCCAUAGAGUAGUUGAAAAACAAAAAGGGGUUCCGAAAGUACAAGUUGUUGCUGUGACUGAAUCGAUGAUUGAGAGGGUCGUCUCGACGAAAGAUAUAGAAAUUUGGCCAUAGUUUAGAUUAGGAAUACGUCAAUGUAAUAAUAGUGGACUAAAUGUUUCGUCCGUGCAGAAUGGCACUUUUUACCUCGCGAAAUUCACCACCAUGCAUAGCUGCGCUACGUAAACAAAGUUGUUGAUGUAGCGUGAUCGUGAUGUCCGAGUGCUGCGAGUUUCAAUACUGUUUAUGUAGUCAUUGAGAGUUUAAACAAAGUUUCUUCUGAGAAGAGGAAUUCGAUGGAUGCAUUCAACGUGGACAACGAAAUCAUAAUUUCGUUUGCAUCAUCCUAAGGACCAGUGCAAGUUGAAAUGGGCUUCCAGCCAACAACUUCAACAGCAAUUUGCCAUGAAAAUCAGCAAGAAAGGUACUUCAUUUGCAUUGAUGAUGUCAUAUCCCCUGGACCCCACAACUUUACAGGUUACAGAGAAAAUUCAAGAACUUCUGCAAAAUGUGGGACUUGGAUAGAAUCAAUAAUGUAUUUGUGAGCCCAGAGCAAUGGAUAUAUUGUGCAACAUACUAAAGUGUGAAUUUAAUGGAAAACUGUACAUGUACUCAUGUAUUACAUGUCUUUUUUAAAGACAAUAAUAUUGUAUAAAUAUAGAGGAAGUGUCAUUGUUGAUUAUUCUAAGUUUUUGAUAUAUCAAAAUCAGUAAACAUUUCUAAAUAAAACCGGCGCGAGCCCCCCUAAAAUUUUCAAGUUUAAAGUAAAUCGUGGUCUCUUGUUUAGAGAAAUAUAUACGAUAAAAGAAGCCAUAAUUUCCUCCACUCUCAGAUUAAUAAAUGUCUGACAAAAUCUUUUGAUUUAUUGAAUUACUUUUAGUGGGAGAACUGCUACUUUUUCCAAAACCCUUAAAAUUUGCGUUAUUUUAUUAAUUUCACAGAAAAUAAUAAAAAUGACUACAUAGGAGAUAUAUUUUAAGCCCUAAAAAAUCUGUAAAAUCCAGGAGUUUCUGGGGAAUCCCCCCCCCCCUUUCAAGGC